rnacentral:rRNA from 1 species
UCGGGAAUUUUGGGCAAUGGGCGAAAGCCUGACCCAGCAACGCCGCGUGAAGGAUGAAGUAUUUCGGUAUGUAAACUUCGUAAGAAUAGGAAGAAUAAAUGACGGUACUAUUUGUAAGGUCCGGCUAACUACGUGCCAGCAGCCGCGGUAAUACGUAGGGACCAAGCGUUGUUCGGAUUUACUGGGCGUAAAGGGCGCGUAGGCGGUUUGUCAAGUCAGUUGUGAAAUCUCCGAGCUUAACUCGGAACGGUCAACUGAUACUGUCAAACUAGAGUACAGAAGGGGCAAUCGGAAUUCUUGGUGUAGCGGUGAAAUGCGUAGAUAUCAAGAGGAACACCUGAGGCGAAGGCGGGUUGCUGGGCUGAUACUGACGCUGAGGCGCGAAAGCUAGGGUAGCAAACGGGAUUAGAUACCCCGGUAGUCCCUGAGCGGGCUGGCAAGGCGCAU